rnacentral:lncRNA from 1 species
UAUCCAUAUCUAAAAAAAAAGUAUGUAAAAAGAUCACCGCAACAUCGGUCAAUGAGAUUGAAGUGCUUUUUCUCACUACAACAAUACCUCAUACUUAUUACAAUAAAAUUGUGUGUAAAAAAACGCUGGUUGGAGGUGUCCCACUAUUUUUUUCAUUGGACGUCCCAAUGCUAGCAUUACCGUUUUAUAUUUUUGUGAUUAUUACAAACACCACUCACGUGAAUAUCACUCUUACAGUUGACUUUACAAAGCUACCAUUGGAAAGAGAAGAAAUCUUAUAAGCUUAAAAAACGGAUAUUUUUUAUAGGUGACGUGCCAGGUCACGGUGCUAGCGUGGAGGCACGUUAAAAAUAAGACGAAGCUACCCCUACCCUGCUCCUCCUCUCUCUCUCUCUCCCCCUCCUUCAGCUGGGUCCCGCAACUCCUCUCACUGCCAGGUGGGCCCCACCUUUCAGCUUCAUCUCUCACCUUCAGUUUGAGGAGCAGGAGCGCCC